rnacentral:rRNA from 1 species
AACGUAGGACGCAAGCGUUAUCCGGAGUUACUGGGCGUAAAGCGCGAGCAGGCGGCUCGACAAGUUCGCUGUGAAAGCUCCCGGCUCAACCGGGCGAGGCCAGUGGAAACUAUCGAGCUGGAGGGCAGUAGAGGCAGGCGGGAAUUCCGGGUGGAGUGGUGAAAUGCGUAGAGAUCCGGAGGAACACCAGAGGCGAAGGCGGCCUGCUGGGCUGCACCUGACGCUGAGCCGCGAAAGCCAGGGGAGCGAACGGG